UGGGGAAUCUUGCACAAUGCGCGAAAGCGUGAUGCAGCAACGCCGCGUGGGGGAAGACGGCCUUCGGGUUGUAAACCCCUUUCAGUUGGGACGAAGCUUCGUCGGUUAAUAGCUGACUGGAGUGACGGUACCUUCAGAAGAAGCCCCGGCUAACUACGUGCCAGCAGCCGCGGUAAUACGUAGGGGGCAAGUGUUGUCCGGAAUCAUUGGGCGUAAAGCGCGUGUAGGCGGUUCGAUAAGUCUGCUGUGAAAGUCCAAGGCUCAACCUUGGGAUGCCGGUGGAUACUGUCGGGCUAGAGUGCGGAAGAGGCGAGUGGAAUUCCCGGUGUAGCGGUGAAAUGCGCAGAUAUCGGGAGGAACACCAAUUGCGAAGGCAGCUCGCUGGGACGUAACUGACGCUGAGACGCGAAAGUGUGGGGAGCAAACAG
rnacentral:rRNA from 1 species